UGGCUUUCCAAACACAAACGCUCAAACACAGUCACACACACUCUGGCCAUCAGACUGUUUGCUGACUUGUCUACGUCGCGGUGAGUAGGCGUCUUUGGGAAAUGUGUGUUGGUUUGUGACCGUGUGAUUCAGUUUACCAUCAGAGUGUGUGUGUUUGAGUUGUGUGACUGUGUGUGUGUGUGUGCACACAGGAGUGAUCGCCGAUGUGUUCCCGGAAUGCUCGCCAGAGAGUCACCUCACCUGGGGGUGAGGCGGGGGUAAGGGUGGGUCGGGAGGCUGUCCCCUCCGGGUGGUGUGGCAAGGCUGUGGCUGCGUCUAGACGGGAACUGUGAUGUCAUCAGGAAUGUGAAAACCCGACUGAAACCGACCCGGGGUUCUGAUCCGCUGCGGACAAGGACGGCUCCUGUGCCCGACCACUUCCCGUACGUAGACGGGGGUAAUAAUCUGAGAAGCCCCAUCAUGGAAAGAGCCCGUAAGAGGACUGGCAGCGAGGGGAAACUUCCGCCAAACUCACAUCUGGAUUGGAGUUUUGUUUGUCGAUUUUGUUGAUUUGGUUUCCACCUGGGUUUAUUUUAAUACAUGUAUUGUGUACAUAAGUGUAUAGAUAUAAUCUGUUUCAAAGUGGUAGUGCCUUUGGUAUUUUUACCGUAUUAGCUUGUUUGAUCGCAGUUUUCUUUAUUGCUGCUACUGUGACACUGUAAUGAAUAAAGUGUUGACCUCUUCUCGUUCCUUUCUGGAAUCGUAAGGAUUUCUUCAGGGGCCUCGAUCACUAGGGAGCUGCAAUAGAGGGGCCCUCACUGGCUUAAGGGCCCCCAGCUGUCCUGAGUGGAGUUCGAAAUUUUCGGUCAUUUCAUUAUCUGUAUGUUUGGGGACCUAGCCUGCUAUUGUGGAAUAUUUCAGAUUAAAACUCGAUUUCAGGAUCUACAUGUGGCGUGAUAUGUGACCAGUUAUUCUGCAUCUUCAAACUAGGGUGACAUUAGUGCAAUAUCUCUCAUCACACGUGUAUUUAAAG
ensembl:lncRNA